UUGGUCCCGUUUCGGGGUUCGAUUAGCCUGCUAGUCGUGCGGGUUAGACCCGCGGCGUAUAGCUCAGUAACACGUGGCCAAACUACCCAACAGACAGGAACAACCUCGGGAAACUGAGGCUAACACCUGAUAGGCGUUGCACGGUUGAAGACGGUGACGCUCAAACGCUCCGGCGCUGUUGGAUGUGGCUGCGGCCGAUUAGGUAGACGGUGGGGUAACGGCCCACCGUGCCGAUAAUCGGUACGGGUUGUGAGAGCAAGAGCCCGGAGACGGAAUCUGAGACAAGAUUCCGGGCCCUACGGGGCGCANCAGGCGCGAAACCUUUACACUGCACGCCAGUGCGAUAAGGGAACCCCGAGUGAAAGGGCAUAUCGCCCUUUCUUUUCUGGAUUGUAAGGAGAUCCAGGAACAAGANCUGGGCAAGACCGGUGCCAGCCGCCGCGGUAAUACCGGCAGCUCGAGUGAUGACCGAUUUUAUUGGGCCUAAAGCNUCCGUAGCUGGCCAUGCAAGUNCGUCGGGAAAUCCACCUGCUUAACAAGUGGGCGUCCGGCGGAAACUGCACGGCUUGGGACAGGAAGGCUCGAGGGGUACGUUCGGGGUAGGAGUGAAAUCCUGGAAUCUGAACGGGCCACCCAUNGCNAAAGCACCUUGAGAGGACUGAUCCCACAG
rnacentral:rRNA from 1 species